rnacentral:rRNA from 1 species
UACGUAGGGUGCGAGCGUUAAUCGGAAUUACUGGGCGUAAAGCGUGCGCAGGCGGUUUUGUAAGCCAGAUGUGAAAUCCCCGGGCUUAACCUGGGAAUGGCAUUUGGGACUGCAAGGCUCGAGUGCGGCAGAGGAGGAUGGAAUUCCGCGUGUAGCAGUGAAAUGCGUAGAUAUGCGGAGGAACACCGAUGGCGAAGGCAAUCCCCUGGGCCUGCACUGACGCUCAUGCACGAAAGCGUGGGGAGCAAACAGG